AUACGGAGGGUGCAAGCGUUAUCCGGAAUCAUUGGGUUUAAAGGGUCCGCAGGCGGAUUAAUAAGUCAGUGGUGAAAUCCUCUCGCUCAACGAGAGAACUGCCAUUGAAACUGUUAGUCUUGAAUUCGGUCGAAGUAGGCGGAAUGUGUCAUGUAGCGGUGAAAUGCAUAGAUAUGACACAGAACACCGAUAGCGAAGGCAACUUACUAGACCUGGAUUGACGCUCAUGGACGAAAGCGUGGGGAGCGAACAGGAUUAGAAACCCCGGUAGUCC
rnacentral:rRNA from 1 species